ensembl:lncRNA
GGAGAAAGAAACAGAAACUGUGACAGCCAUGCAAACAUUUUUUGUCUUUCCGUUUGCAGUGCAGAUGAUCUUCUUGAUUUUUUAAAAAUUGAAAUAAGUGUCAAAUUAAAAGAAAUACCUUCAUCAUUCAGCUUUACAGGGAGUGGAUCUGAGUUUCUGUGAAGGAAGACGCUUUGCCACAUGAUGUUUUCCAGUAAAUAUGUUGGUGAAGAAAGCCGGCCUCCCCCUCCAUUGCACCAGAUCAUACCCCAUCCUCUCCAGGCUCUUUUCCACCUGCUUUCUACUCUCACUGAUCACAAUGUUGUCUGCUAUCAUAGUCCACAGAGAGCCUUGCCUGACCUCAUCAGUCAGCCUGUCCAUCACCACUGCAAGUAAGAAGGGGCUCACAGCCGAUCCCUGAUGUGAUCCCACCGCCUUGAAUCCAUCAGUCACUCCUACCGCACGCCUCACCAGUGUAUCCGUCCUGCCCCACCUUCACAUACUUCUCUGCCAAUCAUGCAGUACCACACUUCCUGUCUUGGCACCCUAUCAUACGCUUUCUGUUGAUCCACAAAUACACAGUGCAGCUCCUUCUGUCCACUGUCCUCUGUCCUAGACACCCGAUACCUCUGAAGGCAUGCCACCUGGACCAACCACCUUCUAAUCCUCUGCACUUCCUCGCUGACUUUUUUUUUUUUUUUAACUUUAUUUAUUAAUUUUUUUAAGAAAAAGGGAUUUUAAAAACCCCCAUUGAUGAGUGCUGACAAGACGAAACAUUAUUUGCAUUUCUUGAUAUCAUGCAGAAAUAUAUGAAAGUUGAAAGAAAUGUUUGUCUAUGCUUCUUAUUGCUGAGCCUGUAACCUUAGUCUGUUUGCACCAUCUAAGCACAGCCAGCGAUUGUUUCAAAGCCGCUACACUGACAUUUACCUUGCAGAUAAAUAAAAGCUCAGUGAGAUGUCAUGCUCCUUUGCUUCCAUAUCCCUGUGAGUGAGUAAGAACCGACAGCUUUACGUCGUCACGUGUCGUAGUUUCCCUUAAAACGUUUGUGCUCAUCAGACUCAUCGUGCCAUAUUUUUCUGCGCUUGGACGAGUCGUGACUGAGGCGCCAAAUGCUUUGACAACACAACAAACAGCCCAGCUCAUUUAAAAAAAAAACAUUCAGCAGCAUGAAGAAUUAAUGAAGCAGAUCUGGGUAUCCAGUGUCUUUGAGCGAUGCCUGCUCAUCUGUUCCAGGCCUUGUUUACAAAACCAUAAAAUGCU